GACGAACGCUGGCGGCGUGCCUAAUACAUGCAAGUCGAACGCAGUGGGGACGGGUGAGUAACACGUGGGUAACCUCCCAUCAGAGGGGAUAACACUUGGAAACAGGUGCUAAACCGAUACUGAUGGAUGGACCCGCGGUGCAUUGGCGAGUUGGUGAGGUAACGGCUCACCAAGGCCACGAUGCAUAGCCGAUCAGAGAGGGAGAUCGCCCCAGCUGAGACUGAGACUGUGCACAAAUGCCUACGGGAGGCAGCAGUAGGGAAUCUACGGCAAUGGACGAAAGUCUAACCGAGCGACGCGGCAUGAGUGAAAAAGGUUUUCGGAUCGAAAAACUCUGUUGUUAGAGUAACGGUAUCUAACCAAAAAGCAACGGCUAACUACGUGACAGCAGCCGCGAUAAUUC
rnacentral:rRNA from 1 species